rnacentral:rRNA from 1 species
CACAUGCAAGUCGAACGAUGAUGCCCAGCUUGCUGGGUGGAUUAGUGGCGAACGGGUGAGUAACACGUGAGUAACCUGCCCCUGACUCUGGGAUAAGCGUUGGAAACGACGUCUAAUACUGGAUAUGAUCACUGGCCGCAUGGUCUGGUGGUGGAAAGAUUUUUUGGUUGGGGAUGGACUCGCGGCCUAUCAGCUUGUUGGUGAGGUAAUGGCUCACCAAGGCGACGACGGGUAGCCGGCCUGAGAGGGUGACCGGCCACACUGGGACUGAGACACGGCCCAGACUCCUACGGGAGGCAGCAGUGGGGAAUAUUGCACAAUGGGCGAAAGCCUGAUGCAGCAACGCCGCGUGAGGGAUGACGGCCUUCGGGUUGUAAACCUCUUUUAGUAGGGAAGAAGCGAAAGUGACGGUACCUGCAGAAAAAGCACCGGCUAACUACGUGCCAGCAGCCGCGGUAAUACGUAGGGUGCAAGCGUUGUCCGGAAUUAUUGGGCGUAAAGAGCUCGUAGGCGGUUUGUCGCGUCUGCUGUGAAAUCCCGAGGCUCAACCUCGGGCUUGCAGUGGGUACGGGCAGACUAGAGUGCGGUAGGGGAGAUUGGAAUUCCUGGUGUAGCGGUGGAAUGCGCAGAUAUCAGGAGGAACACCGAUGGCGAAGGCAGAUCUCUGGGCCGUAACUGACGCUGAGGAGCGAAAGCAUGGGGAGCGAACAGGAUUAGAUACCCUGGUAGUCCAUGCCGUAAACGUUGGGCGCUAGAUGUAGGGACCUUUCCACGGUUUCUGUGUCGUAGCUAACGCAUUAAGCGCCCCGCCUGGGGAGUACGGCCGCAAGGCUAAAACUCAAAGGAAUUGACGGGGGCCCGCACAAGCGGCGGAGCAUGCGGAUUAAUUCGAUGCAACGCGAAGAACCUUACCAAGGCUUGACAUACACCGGAAACGGCCAGAGAUGGUCGCCCCCUUGUGGUCGGUGUACAGGUGGUGCAUGGUUGUCGUCAGCUCGUGUCGUGAGAUGUUGGGUUAAGUCCCGCAACGAGCGCAACCCUCGUUCUAUGUUGCCAGCGGGUUAUGCCGGGGACUCAUAGGAGACUGCCGGGGUCAACUCGGAGGAAGGUGGGGAUGACGUCAAAUCAUCAUGCCCCUUAUGUCUUGGGCUUCACGCAUGCUACAAUGGCCGGUACAAAGGGCUGCGAUACCGUAAGGUGGAGCGAAUCCCAAAAAGCCGGUCUCAGUUCGGAUUGAGGUCUGCAACUCGACCUCAUGAAGUCGGAGUCGCUAGUAAUCGCAGAUCAGCAACGCUGCGGUGAAUACGUUCCCGGGCCUUGUACACACCGCCCGUCAAGUCAUGAAAGUCGGUAACACCCGAAGCCGGUGGCCUAACCCUUGUGGAAGGAGCCGUCGAA